CACGUAGCACAACCAGGUGGCUCAGCAGGUGAGAGCCCGGCUGCCACGGCUGUCACCGCAAAUGUGCCUGCAUCGCCAUUAGCAAGCAUUACAGCAAAGGGGGGUAUAUGCAUCAUAAAUAAACAGUCAUUCAUAUUCAGUAUACAAAGUUCGGCAAAAUCUUCACUACAUUGCUUUUCAACAAUGUCUGACAGAAAAGCAUUCCACUCGCUCAUGGGCCUACAAAAGAAUGAAUAACGAAAAGUGUCACCUUCAAAAGGACCUUUGCGCGCCUUUACUCGCUAUUCGCCGGCAGGCAAGAAAAAGGCCCUGAGACUCGAGUUUUUUCACAGCGUUUAUUAUUCAAAAACAGGCAUAGACAAGAACAAGUACAUCAAACGUUGAAAAGGAAAAAAAGAACAGCAUCUGCAAACAUGAAGAAAUUAGAGCCUUGAAGAUUCAUUGGUCGCAUGCGCAUUUGAACGCGCUGUUUUUCAAUAACGAAUACUACUUGAUCGUAAGCUAGGCAGCAACCAGCCAUUCCUGAUAUGGCAUUCUGAUCUUUUGUCAAGGGCGCUCUUCAUGUCGCGUUGCCUGAUUUCAUGGUUGCUUGAACAUGAGCGAAUAACCGUGGUUGUCGCCUGUAGCAGUGGAAGCGCUGCACUGUUAAGCGCGUGGAUGAAGGUACGAUUUCAGGCACAGAGGAAGGAAACAGUUUGGAGGGAGCAUUAUGCAAUGCAAUAAAGAAAGAAAAAUAAGUACACGAGGCACGCGCAUGCCCAGCCCAGUUUUCCCGAUGGAGCAAGGUCUCCUGAACAUUUUUUGCACAUAUUUGCUCAUUUCUCCUUUGUCUCAGGAUUACUAAGCAUCAUUAGAAACUAUAGAUGUGCCUUUUUUUGCUCUGUCAUCUGCUGGAUUCGUACUUCUUCCCCCCUACCAAAACGGGCUCCUUGAUCCAUAGCCCUUCUUCAUCCACACGGUGACGUGCAAAUGUUUGUAGCUCACAAGGCCCCAAACUAACGUGUGUAUAUUUUUAUUCCCAUCUACCACGUAAGCAGGAAUCCAUUGAGAAAUGCGCGUACCGUGCAGCCUCAAAGGAAACGGCCACCCAGGCGACGCCGGAAUUCGGUUCUGCCGGUGCACAGGUUCGCCCUUGCAGCGUCGUUGGCUGCAAACCCAGCGAUUGGCGGUUCGAAAAGCGGCGACAUGCUGUGCCUCAACAGCAGGGCAGCAGGCGCACGAAGUGGCUGCGACGCAUAGG